rnacentral:rRNA from 1 species
UACGUAGGGGGCUAGCGUUGUCCGGAAUCAUUGGGCGUAAAGAGCGCGUAGGCGGCCAGAUAAGUCCGGUGUGAAAGUCACAGGCUCAACCUGUGAAUGCCGCUGGAAACUGUAUGGCUAGAGUCCGGAAGGGGCGAGUGGAAUUCCUGGUGUAGCGGUGAAAUGCGCAGAUAUCAGGAGGAACACCGGUGGCGAAGGCGGGUCUCUGGGCCGAUACUGACGCUGAGGAGCGAAAGCAUGGGUAGCGAACAGG